AAAUGACGGUACCUGACUAAGAAGCCCCGGCUAAUUACGUGCCAGCAGCCGCGGUAAUACGUAAGGGGCAAGCGUUAUCCGGAUUUACUGGGUGUAAAGGGAGCGUAGACGGUUUGGCAAGUCUGAUGUGAAAGGCAUGGGCUCAACCUGUGGACUGCAUUGGAAACUGUCAGACUUGAGUGCCGGAGAGGCAAGCGGAAUUCCUAGUGUAGCGGUGAAAUGCGUAGAUAUUAGGAGGAACACCAGUGGCGAAGGCGGCCUGCUGGACGGUAACUGACGUUGAGGCUCGAAAGCGUGGGGAGCAAACAGGAUUAGAUACCCUGGUAGUCCACGCUGUAAACGAUGAAUACUAGGUGUCGGGUGGCAAAGCCAUUCGGUGCCGCAGCAAACGCAAUAAGUAUUCCACCUGGGGAGUACGUUCGCAAGAA
rnacentral:rRNA from 1 species